AUGAGCGUCCUCUUUCACACCUGCUCUCCAACAGCAGCCACGUGUGUCCCUAGGGCCAGCCUCUUCUCGCUGAGGGUCAUGGAGAUGACCAGGAAGCAAUGGAGUUUCUCACUGAGGUUCAGGGAGGCAUCUGAAGGCCAUAGGGUUUUCAUGGAGGGAUGCAGAUCAUUCCAUAGUGCUGAGGGCAGGUGUGAAGCAACUGGCUGCACUGGAGUUUAUCGCUGUUUCAUUAUUUGCCUCUUUCUAGGGCCCAUUUGCUCAGAACUGCCAGGAAUUCCUUUCUUCCCAGACUUCUGUGCCUUUUCUUUUUAUCGCUGUACUAGGAAAAGGUAUUUCAUUAAGAGGACUGCCUGCCCAGGAGAGAGCAAAGCCAAGCUGGGAAGAGCACAAGCCUUCAACAACCAGACUACAAAUGGUGAUGCUGCAUUGUCCGUAAUGGUCCCCAGUUCCCAGCCUGUUUUCCCCACAUUUCCCACAGCUGCCCAGCCCGUCCACUCCAGCCCUGACAUGGAAGUAGCUGUGAUCUCCACCUCCUUACCUGAGGGUGCACCGUGGUCAAGGAGCAUGCAACUAAAUCCUUCUGACAUACAUGUCCCAGAGGUGACGGUUAGUGGCCAGCAGCGAGGACAGCUGCCCACUAGUGACCUCCAGGAUCUCUUCCUGAGGCUACAGGAUAUCCACGUGCAGAGUUCGCUGCAGACACUGCAGCAGUUGUUGAACAUGGGGAAGGCAGUAGGGGAGGACGAGUUGCAGGCUGCUGCCCUGAAGCUGCUGGUGGCCAUGAACAAUGCAAGUGUGUCUCAGGACUCCCAGACGACCACCAAUGAUGCAAGGCAUGAAAGAAAAAAUUGAGCUGCAAGGGAGGAUCAGCCAUUGUGGCUCUUCUGCACGCUGUCUGGUCAGAUACUCUGACUCAGAGGGGACACACGAGACUAUCAGAACUAGACAAGGAGUCCUCCUUCCUAGGCCCAAGGCAUCAUCAAGUCUGCCAGCGCUCUCCCAGGCCAACACUGUGGAAACCAAGAGGAAUAACCAUCUGUUCUGAGUGCAAGGGAAAAUCCAGGCAUCUGAAAUGUUACUGGUUGGGAUUCAAAAGGAAAGAUGCUUUCCUCUCAGAAAUAACUGUAUUAAAGGGAUUUUGUCUUCUUCCACACAAACUGUUCAGUUACUGUUGUUUAAUCUGGGACAUCUCUAUUUCUGGACAAGGCAAGAUGGAGAAAAGCAAGUCAUUUUGCCUACUCUGGGCUUGAACCACCACCACCAACUCUGUGGCCUGCGCAGACAGCUGCGGUUUGGUGUGUCAUUCAGUGAAUGUCAUGGGGUAAUGCCGGCCUUUCUUCAUCAAAUACAGAUGUUUCUGUUCAGAGGCAUGAAGAGAAGAAUCUUCUUUGAAAAAUAAAUAUAUAUUUUAUAUAUAUAUAUAAUCA
rnacentral:lncRNA from 1 species